UACGUAGGGUGCAGGCGUUGUCCGGAAUUAUUGGGCGUAAAGAGCUCGUAGGCGGUCUGUCGCGUCGGCUGUGAAAACCCGGAGCUCAACUCCGGGCCUGCAGUCGAUACGGGCAAACUGGAGUGUUGCAGGGGAGACUGGAAUUCCUGGUGUAGCGGUGAAAUGCGCAGAUAUCAGGAGGAACACCGGUGGCGAAGGCGGGUCUCUGGGCAACAACUGACGCUGAGGAGCGAAAGCGUGGGGAGCGAACAGG
rnacentral:rRNA from 1 species